CAACAAUGGGCCUCUGGAGUUUGUCCCUCUCACCUUAAUCACUGCGGAAUUUGAUCUCAGGGCCUUUCAUUCCAUUACUACCCCCCAUCUGGCCGCUGCCUGCAGGAGCCAGGCCGGCCCUGCGUCUCCCAUGGGACUAGAGGCCUGGGGAAAGAGUGAGGUGUUUUCCAUCACACCCUCCAUCUGAGCCAUCUUCGUUCACCACAGUCUCCUCCCUGCCUCCCUCUUUUCCCGCUUGCUGGUCAGUCUAAGUGAGACCCACCCAGACAAUGGUCAGUACCUGGGACUUCCAUCCUCCAUCGGCUUCAGUUUCUCUCUCUAUAAAAUGGGACGGUCACUGCGAGGCUGCUAUUCACAGACCAAAGAGGACUGCAGACUCAAAAUCCAUUAGCAUCUGGAUGGCAACAUAACCAUGCACAUUGGAGACUGAUGCAGUAAGAUGUGAUGGGGCCAGUGUGGGGCUGGAGAGUCUGCACCUCAGUUGAAAUAAUUCAGGAGGUGGAAGAUGACAGCCCAUCAGCCAGCCUGGAUCCUUGAGUGACUAUGUGGAGUAGAGCCCCUGCCAACAGAGCAUAUUGUGUAAGGCAGAAAUAAACUUUGGUGGUGUAAAUGUUGGAGACUCUGCAGAUUUUUUUUUUUUUUUUUGCUUUAGCAUAGUCACACAUAGCUUGUGUGACUUGGGUUCCAUCCCUGGGUCAGAAAGAUCCCCUGGAGGAGGACAUGGCAACCCACUCUGUAUUGGUUGCCCAGAGAAUCCCAUGGACAGAGAAGUCGGGCGGGCUACAGUCCAUGGGGUUGCAAAGAGUCAGACACAAUUGAAGUGACUUAACACACACACACACACAACCUUG
ensembl:lncRNA